rnacentral:rRNA from 1 species
UACGUAGGGUGCGAGCGUUGUCCGGAAUUAUUGGGCGUAAAGAGCUCGUAGGCGGUCUGUCGCGUCUGCCGUGAAAACCCGAGGCUUAACCUCGUGGCUUGCGGUGGAUACGGGGCAGACUAGAGGUAGGUAGGGGAGAAUGGAAUUCCCGGUGUAGCGGUGAAAUGCGCAGAUAUCGGGAGGAACACCGGUGGCGAAGGCGGCCAAUCUCGGACGGAGUACUGACGCUGAGACGCGAAAGCGUGGGGAGCAAACAGGG